rnacentral:rRNA from 1 species
GGGGGGGGGGGGGGGGGGGGCGGGGGGGUGGAGGGCGGGUGGGGGCGGGGGGCGGCGGGCGGUUUCGCUGGCGAGUGGCGGGCGGGGGGGGAGUGUCUGGGAGACGGCCUGAUGGAGGGGGGUAACUACUGGGACCGGUCGCUCAUACCGCCUAACGUCGCCAGACCAAAGAGGGGGACCUUCGUGCCUCUUGCCAUCAGACGUGCCCAGAUGGGAUUAGCUCGUCGGUGGGGUAACGGCUCACCCAGGCGACGAUCCCUAGCUGGUCUGAGAGGAUGACCAGCCACACUGGAACGGAGACACGGUCCAGACUCCUACGGGAGGCAGCAGUGGGGAAUAUUGCAAUGGGCGCAAGCCUGAUGCAGCCAUGCCGCGUGUAUGAAGAAGGCCUUCGGGUUGUAAAGUACUUUCAGCGGGGAGGAAGGGAGUAAAGUUAAUACCUUUGCUCAUUGACGUUACCCGCAGAAGAAGCACCGGCUAACUCCGUG